rnacentral:rRNA from 1 species
UCCUACGGGAGGCAGCAGUAGGGAAUCUUGCACAAUGGGCGCAAGCAUGAUGCAUCCAUGCCGGGUGUAUGAAGAAGGCCUUCGGGUUGUAAAGUACUUUCAGCGGGGAGGAAGGCGAUGCGGUUAAUAACCGCGUCGAUUGACGUUACCCUCAGAAGAAGCACCGGAUAACUCCGUGCCACCAGCCGCGGU